GUGCCAGCGCCGCGGUAAUACCGGCAGCCCGAGUGAUGGCCGAUCUUAUUGGGCCUAAAGCGUCCGUAGCUGGCCGACCAAGUCUCCCGGGAAAUCCACCCGCCCAACGGGUGGGCGUCCGGUAGAAACUGGCCGGCUUGGAACCGGAAGGCUCAGAGAGUACGUCCGGGGUAGGAGUGAAAUCCCGUAAUCCCGGACGGACUACCGAUGGCGAAAGCACUCUGAGAAGACGGCUUCGACAGUGAGGGACGAAAGCGAAGAUCGCGAACCGGAUUAGAAACCCGUGUAGUCC
rnacentral:rRNA from 1 species